rnacentral:rRNA from 1 species
UACGGAGGAUCCAAGCGUUAUCCGGAAUCAUUGGGUUUAAAGGGUCCGUAGGCGGGACAAUCAGUCAGCGGUGAAAGUCUGUGGCUCAACCAUAGAAUUGCCAUUGAUACUGUUGUUCUUGAAUACUUAUGAAGUGGUUGGAAUAUGUAGUGUAGCGGUGAAAUGCAUAGAUAUUACAUAGAACACCGAUUGCGAAGGCAGAUCACUAAUAAGUCAUUGACGCUGAUGGACGAAAGCGUAGGUAGCGAACAGG